rnacentral:rRNA from 1 species
GCAGCCGCGGUAAUACGUAGGUGGCAAGCGUUAUCCGGAAUUACUGGGUGUAAAGGGUGAGUAGGCGGGAUUGCAAGUCAGAUGUGAAAUCUUUUGGCUCAACCAAAAAACUGCAUUUGAAACUGCAAUUCUUGAGAGUGGGAGAGGUAAGCGGAAUUCCCGGUGUAGCGGUGAAAUGCGUAGAGAUCGGGAGGAACACCAGUGGCGAAGGCGGCUUGCUGGACCACUACUGACGCUGAGGCACGAAAGUGUGGGUAGCAAACAGGAUUAGAUACCCC